rnacentral:rRNA from 1 species
GAUGAACGCUGGCGGCUUGCCUAAUACAUGCAAGUCGAGCGAACAGACGAGGCUCUUGCUCCUCUGACGUUAGCGGCGGACGGUUGAGUAACACGUGGAUAACCUACCUAUAAGACUGGGAUAACUUCGGGAAACCGGAGCUAAUACCGGAUAAUAUCUUGAACCGCAUGGUUCAAUAGUUCAAGACGGUUUUGCUGUCACUUAUAGAUGCAUCCGCACCUCAUUAGGUAGUUGGUAAGGUAACGGCUUACCAACGCAACGCUGCUUAGCCGACCUGCGAGGGAGAAGGGCCAGACUGGAACUGGGACAGGGUCCAGAAUCCAAAGGAAGGCAGCAGUAGGGAAUCAUCAGCAAUGGGAGAAAACCUGACAGAGGAACGCCGCGUGAGUGAUGAAGGUCUACGAAUCGUAAAACGCUGUUAUUAGGGAAGAACAAAUGUGUAAGUAACUAUGCACGUCUUGACGGUACCUAAUCAGAAAGACACGGCGAAAUACGUG